AGUCCAUGAGUAGGACAUUUCCUCAACAUUCCCUUAAACCUUGUCCAUGCUUCAUGAAGGGAUUAAUCAGCAAAUUACCUAAAUCUGGUAAUGUUGUCUCUUAGAUC